AUUGAACGCUGGCGGCAGGCCUAACACAUGCAAGUCGAGCGGUAACACAAGGGAGCUUGCUCCUGAGGUGACGAGCGGCGGACGGGUGAGUAAUACCUAGGUAUCUGCCCAAUCGAGGGGGAUAACAGUUGGAAACGACUGCUAAUACCGCAUACGCCCUACGGGGGAAAGGAGGGGACCUUCGGGCCUUCCGCGAUUGGAUGAACCUAGGCGGGAUUAGCUAGUUGGUGAGGUAAUGGCUCACCAAGGCGACGAUCCCUAGCUGGUCUGAGAGGAUGAUCAGCCACACUGGAACUGAGACACGGUCCAG
rnacentral:rRNA from 1 species